rnacentral:rRNA from 1 species
UACGUAGGUGGCAAGCGUUGUCCGGAUUUACUGGGCGUAAAGAGCGCGCAGGCGGUCGUUCAAGUCGCGUGUGAAAGCCCCCGGCUCAACUGGGGAGGGUCACGCGAUACUGAUCGACUCGAAGGCAGGAGAGGGUAGUGGAAUUCCCGGUGUAGUGGUGAAAUGCGUAGAUAUCGGGAGGAACACCAGUGGCGAAGGCGACUACCUGGCCUGUUCUUGACGCUGAGGCGCGAAAGCUAGGGAGCGAACGGG